UACACAUUCUCAAUCACUCUGUUUCUCUCUCGCUCGCUCUCUCUCUCGCUCUCGCUCUCACUCUCUCUCUCGCUCUCACUCUCUCUCUCUCUCUCAUAUCCAUUAUCGGUUGCAUCACUUCUGGUUAGUCUACAUUUAGUUUUGUAUGAAAGGAGAACAUAAAAAUACGUGACAACAUAUACAGGCAUAAAAACAUAAAAAAUCCUGUGAAAGAAAAUGCUAAUAAGGAGUGAGAUCCAAGCUUAAGUAUGUGUAAAAGGCAAAAGCUUUAUCAUUUAUUGGUUUCGAUGAUUUCAUACCAUUAGUAUUAUUAUAAUUGGAAUGACUAUGAAUAAGAACUGUUGAGGUUUUUGAUGUCUAUAAACGUAAGCGUUUAUAAAUGAGCGUGUGGAGUGCGUUUGGAGGAUGGCCGGUUUAAGCAGCCUCUCCUGGCUCGAGUCAGACUGAUUGGACUCUGGGGCUGGGUGAGGCUGCACACCUGUUGUGCAUUAAAUAAUCAAUUUUCUGAAGCACAGGUUAAACCAGCAACCACCGCCGACCCUCUGUGAGGUGUCCUGCAAGGAACCAUGUGACACCUCCCGCUCUGAAUCACUUUACUCAACCUCUGCACAAAACCGUUUAUAACAUCGACCCCUAAAGAAUAAAAUGACGAUCAUCCGCACACACUCUCCUUACGAGGCAAACACUGCAGCUCAGAGAAGCUGCUUCUGAAGAAGUUAUCCAUGACAACGGCAUGUUGAAUAUGAAUGAGAAUAGAAUCUAUCAGUAGAGGUUUUCUUUUUUAAUUUAAUCUUUAUCUCUUGGAAAAGUGCAAUGUCCUAAUUUAAUCCAACCCUGACACGGUGUGUAGUACCUUCAUCUUUUUAAAGCAUAUUAACUGAGAACGGUUCAGCCAACACAGGCAGGUGGAACUUGCAAGGCAGAGGGGGAAUAUUGUGCCGGUAUGAAAUCCAAUCAAAUAUUAAUUCUGGGUUCCUAUUAUCGGCGGUUAGGCAGUGCCAAAGAGAGAGCCACGGGGAAUGAGACUCUGUUCCCUCGGAAGCAGACAUCUGAAAGUAAAACACAACGUAUCUCCAUACUAAAUAUUAUCUUCAUGACAAUAUUUUGCUCUCCUGUUUCCAUUUCAUUUGCCGUAACUUCAGAUUGCAUCUUUCAGAUUUCUAGUCUGCUCACAAGCGUGAGCAGCCUUAUCGAGUAAUCCACUUGAAAGCGAUUGAUAUGACCAUGCUGUGUGUUCGCUGUAUGAUCGACAAACCCGGAGCACAGGGAGACACAUGCAAACUAUAGACACGCUCUGCAACGAAACAACUAGCAUGUAGCGCACAUAGGAGCAGACACUCGGUUAGCGUGGCAACAACCCCUUCUAACAGUGUAGAAGCGUGUCUUAUAUUGGCUUGUAUUAAUAUUUGAUACAGCUUAUAAUUAGCCUGGUAUUAUAAUAACCAUCAUAAGCCCUUGAUGUAUUUAGUCCAGUAGGGAGUCAAGGCUUUGGGAUGUUUUUAAAAAGGAUGAUCCACACUUAAAGUCACUUUAUCAAACACAAAUCAAACUUACGUUUUCUGAGUAUAUAUGUAUGUGUGUGUGUGCGUUCGUGGUUGGUGUGUAUGUGAUGUCUGCGCUUGUGUCUGCGUGUAUGUGUGGAAUUGUGUGCGGGACAUGGGUAGAUGUAUGGGUGUGGAUGUGCGUGUGUGUGUGUGUGUCUGCGUGUGCGUGUGUGUGUCUUAGUGCGUGCAUGGUCCUUCUGAUCAGUCCAGUGGUGACAGACCAGUGCCAGGCUGGUGCAAUACAAUACAAAACCAAUCACAUGUCACCUGUGAACCUCCUAUUCCUGUACCCCGCAUUGUAAAGAGGGUCCUACCAUGUCCUAUCAAAGGUGCUAGGCUACGCACAUCAAGCUGAACAGAGACAGACCAUCACACAGACCACCGAUGGCAUUGUUCAACGGUUGACAUCGCUAGUGUCGAAACAGUUGCUACACAGAGUCCGGUUGCCGUCGGCAACAACACCGCACUUGUUUAUUAGAAAAUGUAUAAAAGCGAAGCUGAUGAGCUUUGUUGGCAUGUGAGAGAGACGCUUUGUCAGUGAAGUCUCAUAGGUUAAGAGGCCUAUGAUGUAGUCCCCGGGUAAGCACUAUACCGCCGAGUUUCCUUGUGUAUGCAUUGUGGCUUGUUUCUAAAGCGCCGUCGUGUGAAAAUAACAAAGAAGACGUUCUUUCGAGUUGGUUGUUUUGUUUUCUCCGGAUUCCGAAUCCGAUGUCUUUUGUUUUGUUUUUCACCCAUUUUACCAUCUCAUGGAUUGAAGGAAAAAAAAAAACACAAGAGAGUUACGUGUACCACAACAAGGGGACUGCGGCUGUGAGCGACGGACCACCGAGGAAAACAGAGGAACCGCUCGUGUCUUAAUCCAUCUUGAUAAGUGGAACCUUUUAUCCGUGGCCCCGGAGUGAGAGAGACCGAGGGGCCACCGGGAUACAAAACAAAAGGAUUAAAGGAUUAAAGCGGAGCAGAUACUGUACACCUUGAUGAUCAGAAGAUAAAUAUGAUGAUCCGGUUUCUUAUUAUUAUGUGUAAAUGAACAACGGCAUAUUAUGCAGCAGCAGAUGUUCGACAUGUCCAACUCAUCCUGGGUUCUUCAUUCUGCUUGAUGAAUCCAUGCUUCAGUGAACUCCUUGGCAUAACUGACACUGAUUGCUGUGUGUGUGUUUGUGGGUGUGUGUGUGUGUGUGUGUGUGUGUGUGUGUGUGUGUGUGUGUGUGUGUGUGUGUGUGUGUGUGUGUGUGUGUGUGUGUGUGUGUGUGUGUGUGUGUGUGUGUGUGUGUGCACCUGUGAAAGUGUGUGUGUGUGUGGCGUGCGUGGGGGUCAACGAGUGUGUCAACGUGCUGCUAAUGGAAUAGUGUGUUGUGUUGUUUCAUGUCGGUCGUGCUGCACUUUUGUUUUUGGGUGUUUCCAAUAAAGCUGUUCUAACUUUA